GCGUUGAAGCGGGAGGUUGCGACCUGUGAGGUCGGUUUUUCCGUGGAGUAUGUCCGAUUUCAAACCGGGCGACAA
rnacentral:ncRNA from 1 species